rnacentral:rRNA from 1 species
GUGCUUAACACAUGCAAGUCGAGUGCGUGUCCGUAGCAAUACGGAUGACGCACGGCGCACGGGUGCGUAACACGUGGGCAAUCUGCCCUCGGAUGGGGGAUAACCCGUCGAAAGGCGGGCUAAUACCGCAUGAUAUUCCUGGGACCCCGGUCCCGGGACUCAAAGGCCGCAAGGCCGUCGGAGGAGGAGCCCGCGCCCGAUUAGCUUGUUGGCGAGGUAACGGCUCACCAAGGCCAUGAUCGGUAGCCGGUCUGAGAGGAUGGCCGGCCACACUGGAACUGAGACACGGUCCAG